CAAGCUGUAUGGCAGUCGCUCUCGCGUUCUCAGAACGUGGGAGAGGAAGGUCCGAACACUACUUCCCGUCAGAAGAACGGGUCUAAAAGGGUAGCGGGUAACACCCGUCCGCAGUAAUGCGAGAGGUGCGAGCAGAGACGCUGAGGCAAGCGAUUGCCGAGGCCCUUGCCAGAGUGGCAAGGUGAGCUCCGGGAGUAAUCCUGGAGGUGAAACGGCUAAAUCCUUAUCCGAGUGCAAGAGCAAGCCAGGGAAUCAGCUUCCAUGUUGAAGCCCUGUGAAAAGUAGCUCGCUGGAGCCUGAGGGUAACCUCAGGCCAAGACAGAUGAUUGCCGCUCUGUCCUCGCGAGGGGGCAGAGUACAGAAUUCGGCCUAUAUUACAGCUUGGCCG
rnacentral:RNase_P_RNA from 1 species